GACGAACGCUGGCGGCGUGCUUAACACAUGCAAGUCGAACGAAGUGGCGAACGGGUGAGUAACGCGUAAUCAACCUGCCCUUCAGAGGGGGACAACAGUUGGAAACGACUGCUAAUACCGCAUACUGAAGGAGGGGAUUGCGUCUGAUUAGCUAGUUGGAGGGGUAACGGCCCACCAAGGCGAUGAUCAGUAGGCGGUCUGAGUGGAUGAACGGGCACAUUGGGACUGGGACAAGGCCCAGACUCCUACUGGAGGCAGCAGGGGGGAAGCUGCGGAAAUGGACGAAAGUCUGACGGAGCAACGGCGCGGGAGUGAUGACGGCCUUCGGGUUGUAAAGCUCUGUUAAGCGGGACGCGGUACCGGAAUAGAAAGCCACGGCUAACUACGUGCCAGCAGCCGCGGUAAUAC
rnacentral:rRNA from 1 species